rnacentral:rRNA from 1 species
AAGGUAGCUUGCUACUGGACCUAGCGGCGGACGGGUGAGUAAUGCUUAGGAAUCUGCCUAUUAGUGGGGGACAACAUUCCGAAAGGAAUGCUAAUACCGCAUACGCCCUACGGGGGAAAGCAGGGGAUCUUCGGACCUUGCGCUAAUAGAUGAGCCUAAGUCGGAUUAGCUAGUUGGUGGGGUAAAGGCCUACCAAGGCGACGAUCUGUAGCGGGUCUGAGAGGAUGAUCCGCCACACUGGGACUGAGACACGGCCCAGACUCCUACGGGAGGCAGCAGUGGGGAAUAUUGGACAAUGGGCGGAAGCCUGAUCCAGCCAUGCCGCGUGUGUGAAGAAGGCCUUUUGGUUGUAAAGCACUUUAAGCGAGGAGGAGGCUCCUUUAGUUAAUACCUAAAGUGAGUGGACGUUACUCGCAGAAUAAGCACCGGCUAACUCUGUGCCAGCAGCCGCGGUAAUACAGAGGGUGCGAGCGUUAAUCGGAUUUACUGGGCGUAAAGCGUGCGUAGGCGGCUUUUUAAGUCGGAUGUGAAAUCCCUGAGCUUAACUUAGGAAUUGCAUUCAAUACUGGAAAGCUAGAGUAUGGGAGAGGAUGGUAGAAUUCCAGGUGUAGCGGUGAAAUGCGUAGAGAUCUGGAGGAAUACCGAUGGCGAAGGCAGCCAUCUGGCCUAAUACUGACGCUGAGGUACGAAAGCAUGGGGAGCAAACAGGAUUAGAUACCCUGUAGUCCAUGCCGUAAACGAUGUCUACUAGCCGUUGGGGCCUUUGAGGCUUUAGUGGCGCAGCU